CCUGGUUGAUUCUGCCAGUAGUCAUAUGCUUGUCUCAAAGAUUAAGCCAUGCAUGUCUAAGUAUAAGCAAUCAUACUGUGAAACUGCGAAUGGCUCAUUAAAUCAGUUAUCGUUUAUUUGAUAGUACCUUUACCUGGAUAACCGUGGUAAUUCUAGAGCUAAUACAUGCUAAAAACCUCGACUUCGGAAGGGGUGUAUUUAUUAGAUAAAAAACCAAUGCCCUUCGGGGCUCCUUGGUGAUUCAUAAUAACUUAACGAAUCGCAUGGCCUUGCGCCGGCGAUGGUUCAUUCAAAUUUCUGCCCUAUCAACUUUCGAUGGUAGGAUAGUGGCCUACCAUGGUCUUAACGGGUAACGGGGAAUUAGGGUUCUAUUCCGGAGAGGGAGCCUGAGAAACGGCUACCACAUCCAAGGAAGGCAGCAGGCGCGCAAAUUACCCAAUCCCAGUUCGGGGAGGUAGUGACAAUAAAUACUGAUACGGGGCUCUUUCGGGUCUCGUAAUUGGAAUGAGUACAAUCUAAAUCCCUUAACGAGGAACAAUUGGAGGGCAAGUCUGGUGCCAGCAGCCGCGGUAAUUCCAGCUCCAAUAGCGUAUAUUAAAGUUGUUGCCGUUAAAAAGCUCGUAGUUGAACCUUGGACCUGGCUGAUCUGUCCUCCUAAUCGAGCGCACGGAUUCGGUCGGGUCUUUCCUUCUGGGGAGCCCUAUGCCCUUCACUGGGUGUAGUGGGGAACCAGGACUUUUACCUUGAAAAAAUUAGAGUGUUCAAAGCAGGCCUUUGCUCGAAUACAUUAGCAUGGAAUAAUAGAAUAGGACAUCGGUUCUAUUUUGUUGGUUUCUAGGACCGCUGUAAUGAUUAAUAGGGAUAGUCGGGGGCGUCAGUAUUCAAUUGUCAGAGGUGAAAAUCUUGGAUUUAUUGAAGACUAACUACUGCGAAAGCAUUCGCCAAGGAUGUUUUCAUUAAUCAGUGAACGAAAGUUAGGGGAUCGAAGACGAUCAGAUACCGUCGUAGUCUUAACCAUAAACUAUGCCGACUAGGGAUCGGACGGUGGUUUUUUUAUGCCCCGUUCGGCACCUUACGAGAAAUCAAAGUUUUUGGGCUCGGGGGGGAGUAUGGUCGCAAGGCUGAAACUUAAAGAAAUUGACGGAAGGGCACCACCAGGCGUGGAGCCUGCGGCUUAAUUUGACCCAACACGGGGAAACUCACCAGGUCCAGACAUGCUUAGGAUUGACAGAUUGAUAGCUCUUUCUUGAUUGUAUGGGUGGUGGUGCAUGGCCGUUCUUAGUUGGUGGAGUGAUUUGUCUGCUUAAUUGCGAUAACGAACGAGACCUUGUCCUGCU
rnacentral:rRNA from 1 species